GAGAAGCAAACUGGUAGUUUGUACUCUGAUUGGGACCUUCUUCCACCAAAGACAAUCAAGGAUCCAGAUGCCAAGAAACCUGAAGAUUGGGAUGACAAUGAGUAUAUUCCGGACCCUGAGGAUAAGAAACCAGAGGGUUAUGAUGACAUUCCAAAGGAGAUUCCAGAUCCUGAUGCAAAGAAGCCUGAGGAUUGGGAUGAUGAGGAGGAUGGUGAAUGGACUCCCCCAACCAUUGCCAACCCUGAAUAUAAGGGUCCAUGGAAGCCCAAGAAAAUUAAGAACCCCAAUUACAAGGGCAAGUGGAAGGCACCAAAGAUUGACAACCCUGAUUUCAAGGAUGAUCCAGAUCUCUAUGUAUACCCUAACUUGAAGUAUGUUGGUAUUGAAUUGUG
rnacentral:misc_RNA from 1 species